rnacentral:rRNA from 1 species
ACGGGAGGCAGCAGUGGGGAAUAUUGGACGAUGGGGGAAACCCUGAUCCAGCGACGCCGCGUGAGUGAAGAAGUAUUUCGGUAUGUAAAGCUCUAUCAGCAAGGAAGAAAAUGACGGUACUUGACUAAGAAGCCCCGGCUAACUACGUGCCAGCAGCCGCGGUAAUACGUAGGGGGCAAGCGUUAUCCGGAUUUACUGGGUGUAAAGGGAGCGUAGACGGCAAUGUAAGUCUGAAGUGAAAGCCCCGGGCUCAACCCGGGAACUGCUUUGGAAACUGUAGAGCUAGAGUACAGGAGAGGUAAGCGGAAUUCCUAGUGUAGCGGUGAAAUGCGUAGAUAUUAGGAGGAACACCAGUGGCGAAGGCGGCUUACUGGACUGUAACUGACGUUGAGGCUCGAAAGCGUGGGGAGCAAACAGGAUUAGAUACCCUGGUA